AAGACUAAAUAACAUUAAAUUUUAAAUGCUUGGUUUUUUUCAAAAUAAAUAAAUAAAAGAAUAGGAAAUGAGAGAGAGAAAGUAGCACAACUCAGAAACACAUUCAUCUUCCUCACGAAGAAUCUCUCCAACUCUCGUUAUCUCCCAAUCUCGUUCCUCUCUCUCCCAAUUGUACAUCUCUCUUUCUCACUCGCCCUCAACUUCACUCAAUCGAUCUCUCGACCUCGUGUCUCUCUUUUUCCCAAUCUCUCAUCAUCUCUCAGCCGUCGUCUCUCCAACUCUCUCUACAUGCAACAAGAAACAAUGGCUUUAAAGAGUUUCAAACAAAUAAAACUCACCUUCGGCGACGGUUCCUGUAAUGGUGGUGAGCUUGCAACUACCUCUCUUCGCUAGGUUUCAGGGUUUGCAGUCGUCGAUUGAAAUUAGGUUUUUCUUUGUGGUGUUUAGAACUAGGGUUUUCGUUGUGGUCGCCGCUCCUUUAUCUAGGGUUUUCGUUUUUUUCAAAAUCGUCCUCCAUCUUUCUGAUUAGGUCCCUUUAUAUUCACCCUGCUUAGGGUUUUGAACUGAUUCCUCAGAUAAAAGGGGCAAACUGCCAAAAUCCUUUAGGGUACUCAGCUUGGAUCGGCCUAUUUGGAUGUUCGGUUUUUGGAAAAGUGAAGAAUUGAUCAUCAGUUUCGCUUUUCUCACAACCUUGUUGGUGUACUCGGCUUUGGGCGGCUCGUUUGCACCUGUAGCUUGCAGCGGCAUGGCCUUGCUAAUCUCUUUCGAAGGCAAAUACCCUACUUAUGUGCUUCUCAUUACCGACUGUUUUUUCGAUACCACAUCUGUUUGCCUGCAAAGAACUAGUGGGACGUGAAGGAAACGUAUGGUUAUACAGACCAAACUCGAGAGAAAAGGUUCGGCUUCCAGUUGGAUCAUGUGAGCUUGCACUUCCUAUGAGAGGCAGAGAGUUGGCUCACAAUGGGAAUGCUCCAAGAGAAGCCUAUGCAACGAUUCUGCAUUCGGCUCAUGUUUAUGUUUGUGGAGCCAUAGAAUGAAUGGAACUACAACAAAUACAGGUUAUGGCAAAUGUGAUCGGUUAUGGAUCGGGUUGUAUCUGGCAGUUCUGUACUUCUGGAGAUUAUCAUAAAGAUGUUGAUACCGUUGAAUUUUUUGGUCACCACCCAUUUGUUUGCCAAUCAUGUCAUUUUUCAGAUUCCCGAAAAUUGUGAAACCUCGACUCUGCCAUUAACUUGCCUCUGGUGUUCUAAUAAUUUUACAGGAAUGGCAUUCGAAGCAUCUCUGGGACCUGAUAAGGACGCAUGAGUUUUUCAAAUCUAUAACGAGUGUACCAGCGAAAGCAUAUUCCAGGUCUCACACGUCCAGCUCUACCCUGACGCUGCCUUGCAUUUGCUUGAGAAAUCCAAUCUUCAACCAUGCUAGACAAUUUCUUCUGCGGAUUAUAACGAUUCUCCUUAUGUUUUCCACAGUCAAUCACAUAUAUCACAUCAACUAUUGUUAUGCUGGUCUCUGCUAUAUUUGUUGCUAUAACAACCUUGCGUAUAUUUCCUGUAGGGCGUAAAAAAAAACCUUCUUCUGUUCAGUUGACGCAACUAAUGAAUGCAAAGGAGUAAGCCAAUCAGAAGAUGGCCCACCAAACCGGUACGAUGCUGCUAACUUAUCAUGUAAGUGGUUUAUCUCAAACACUCCCGGUAAGAAGACAAGGACGGCACCCUCAAGAUCAUCUAUCUGCAUAAAUUCAGGAAGUGGAAUGCCAUGCUUAGAGAAGUGAACCUUUUGCAGAUACUUAUCCUGAAUAAUUCGUAUAGUAGAGGCUUUAGGUUGACAUACAACUCCUUGUUUCUCAAGUUAUUUAUGCUGCUGGGAUUUACUUCCUUGGUGUAUGACUAUUUAUCUUUACCGGCACUGGCUUUUAUCUGAAUUUUGUAGAAGUCGCAGCCUAGGCUCAGUAGGUAACCAUUUGUAAUAUUUGCACUUGGGUUUUAUUGUACUUUUGCAGUAGAGCAAUAACAUCAUGUAUUUGAACUGAAAAUAAGUGAUCUAAAAGCCCAGCUGAAAAUCUAUUCAUUGU